GAUGAAGAACGUAGCGAAAUGCGAUAAGUAAUGUGAAUUGCAGAAUUCAGUGAAUCAUCGAAUCUUUGAACGCACAUUGCGCCCUCUGGUAUUCCGGGGGGCAUGCCUGUUCGAGCGUCAUUAUAACCACUCAAGCUCUCGCUUGGUAUUGGGGCUCGCGGUACCGCGGCCCCUAAAAUCAGUGGCGGUGCCUGUCGGCUCUACGCGUAGUAAUACUCCUCGCGAUUGAGUCCGGUAGGUCUACUUGCCAACAACCCCCAAUUUUUACAGGUUGACCUCGGAUCAGGUAGGGAUACCCGCUGAACUUAAGCAUAUCAAUAAGCGGAGGA
rnacentral:misc_RNA from 1 species